rnacentral:rRNA from 1 species
GAUCUGGCUCAGGAUGAACGCUAGCGACAGGCUUAACACAUGCAAGUCGAGGGGCAGCACAGGUAGCAAUACCGGGUGGCGACCGGCGCACGGGUGAGUAACGCGUAUGCAACUUACCUAUCAGAGGGGGAUAACCCCCCGGNGAAAGUCGGACUAAUACCGCAUGAAGCAGGGGUCCCGCAUGGGGAUAUUUGCUAAAGAUUCAUCGCUGAUAGAUAGGCAUGCGUUCCAUUAGG